CCUACGGGAGGCAGCAGUGGGGAAUAUUGCUCAAUGGGGGAAACCCUGAUGCAGCGACGCCGCGUGAGGGAAGACGUAUUUCGGUAUGUAAAGCCCUAUCAGUAGGGAAGAAAAUGACGGUACCUGAUUAAGAAGCCCCGGCUAACUACGUGCCAACAGCCGCGGUAAUACGUAGGGGGCAAGCGUUAUCCGGAUUUACUGGGCGUAAAGGGAGGGUAGGCGGUGAUGCAAGUCAGAAGGUAAAGCCUGGGGCUCAACCCCGGGACUGCUUUUGAAACUGUUUGUCUGGAGUGCAGGAGAGGUAAGCGGAAUGCCUGGUGUAGCGGUGAAAUGCGUAGAUAUCAGGAGGAACACCGAUGGCGAAGGCGGCUUACUGGACUUUAACUGACGUUGAGGCUCGAAAGCGUGGGGAGCAAACAGGAUUAGAUACCCGGGUAGUC
rnacentral:rRNA from 1 species